UCGUGUCAGGAUAAGGCAUGAAGAACGCACAGUCCUUACCUACCUUUGUCCAGAAGUCAUUGAUAUCACUUCCACUCAUAAGUCAUUGACCUAAACUUAUCACCUGGGACCAAGCUGACUACAAGGUCUGAGAAAUGUAAGGAGCAUGGAGAGCAUUUGCUCAGAGUUUUCCCCCUUUAUGACUUCAGUGUGUAAUAAUACAUAGUUUGAAGUAGAAAUGUAGUAAGUGAUGCCAUACACUUUGUCACCUACAAGCUCUGAGUGGAACAACAAAUAGAAGAAUGAAUUGAAGAUUCACUGUACAAUGAAAAGCCCUACUGUUUUUGUCAAGUUUGCCAGCUCCUGUGAGAAGUUCUACAAAGGAUCAUAAUAUCUGCACAAGACCAAGCUGUCCUUCCUCCCUUGGGUCACUGCAAUUUCCUCCUAGCUGGUUCCCCUGUCUCAGUGUUGCUCCCCAGUAAUGACGAUCAAUGGCAGAUCAUUUGAA